GAUGAACGCUGGCGGCGUGCUUAACACAUGCAAGUCGAGCGAAGCACUUUUGCGGAUUUCUUCGGAUUGAAGCAAUUGUGACUGAGCGGCGGACGGGUGAGUAACGCGUGGGUAACCUGCCUCAUACAGGGGGAUAACAGUUGGAAACGGCUGCUAAUACCGCAUAAGCGCACAGUACCGCAUGGUACCGUGUGAAAAACUCCGGUGGUAUGAGAUGGACCCGCGUCUGAUUAGCUAGUUGGUGGGGUAACGGCCUACCAAGGCGACGAUCAGUAGCCGACCUGAGAGGGUGACCGGCCACAUUGGGACUGAGACACGGCCCAAACUCCUACGGGAGGCAGCAGUGGGGAAUAUUGCACAAUGGGGGAAACCCUGAUGCAGCGACGCCGCGUGAGCGAAGAAGUAUUUCGGUAUGUAAAGCUCUAUCAGCAGGGAAGAUAAUGACGGUAC
rnacentral:rRNA from 1 species